rnacentral:tRNA from 1 species
CGCCCGCUACGGCGUCGGCGGCCGCGGCGGCUUCCGCUGCUGCUGACCGACCUCGCCCGCGCAGGGUCCUUAACCCUGCGCGGGCGA